GCCCAGGCGGCCCAUAAAGCGCGGUGCGCGCGGCUCAGCGGCCUCUUGCUGCGUCGUGGGGAGGUCCCGAAGCACGCUGGGCCUGCUCGAUGGACGGCUGCAGCUGCCCGGCUCGCUGUGCCGUGCCAGAGCCUCUGAUGGGCCUCUAUGAAGGCAGAAUGCCAUUGGGCCUGUUGGAGACCUGAUGGGAUGGCUGUAGCCAGCAGUGGAUCAGCUAUGUGAUGAACACGGUUGUGCUGGCUUGCACCACUGUGCCUGAACCUUUAGCAGGCCUCUAUGAAGGCAGAGGGACGCUGGGCCUGCUGGAGACCUGAUGUGAUGGCUGUAGCCAGCAGUGAAUCAGCUGUGUGAUGACUGAGCCUUGGCUUUCUCUACCGUGUAUUUCCUCUUGAUGGAGGAGCAAAGGUUGAGUGAGAUCUCUCAGGAAGGCCCCAGGAUCUGCUGUGAUUUCAGUGUACUAGGUGAAAGCUGUCUUCUGCUAAUUCUGUUUCUCUCCAUGCUGCUGCCUGUGAUCCCUUGUCCACACUACAGUAUCCGCAUCACUCUGCAACAACUCUUGAGUCUUUUCUCUUGGUGUCUUGCCAACUCACAGAUGGAGGGUGUUGUAUUUUUUCCUUCAUAUGAUGCAUUUAAUCAUAAUGGAUCCUGGAAUUUGCUGCAGGUUUUAUGUAAUUGGAUGACUUUUGUCUGCAAGGGCUGUAUUCACUGCCUGACAACUAAUGCUACUUGACAUUAAAAGUACAGAAGCCUUAAAAAGCUGUUGUAUAUUGGAUGAUGGCCUUGUGUACAAGGAGAGGGUUUUUAAAUAAAAUCUGAAUACUGAAUGAACUCAACUGUCGAAUAAAACUGUCCUUCAUACCUCUAACAGCCAAUUUCUCUAUCUCCUAGUUGUUGAUUUUUGGAGUUGGGUGGUGACAGUGCAUUUGUGUGGUGAUUGUUUCCAUGGAACUGCUUUCUGCCAACUAAGGAGAAAGGGUCGUGGUCUCAUGGCAGGAUAGCUAAUCCUCACAUACUCUGAAACAAAAGGUGCUUAACUGAGAUGUGUAGCAGCUGACAUUCCCUAGGAGACUAUAGUGCACUGGGAGUUGUAGAUGGCCUGGUAAAAGAUGUAGGAUAUCAUGUUCCAGGUAAGUAGGUUACAGUAGCUUUGCACAGUCUUCAUACAUGAGUCCUUCCGAGACUUAACAGCAGUCUAGGAAGGAGGAGGAGCUGAUGUCAGCUUCUGUAAGGUUUGGAUAUCUCCCUCAUGCAGUGUGAUCAGCUAGCAAAAAUGACUGCUGUUGGCUAGAGAGACUAGUGGCAGAUGUUGAUUCAGCUCCUGCAGCCCUCCCCUGGAUGCUUUUUGGCAGUCUUCCCAGUCUGCAGAGCAGGAGAAUUAAAUAUGAAUUCUAUGCAUGUGCUGAAGUAGGGAAGCACUGAACAAGAUGGUUUCCCUAAGACCAGAGAAAAAGUUGAAGCCCUAGAGUAUGUUGUGUCUUGUAUCUCCAGACUUCUUGCAGUAGCUCUGUAAAAUAGGCAUGCCUGGCCUCAAUGGGAGCAAAACAUUUUAUCAAUGAACUUGUACUGUGCAAUGACCACUUGGGGUUGAAUAGUGCCAAGUCUGCCUUCUGCCUGAGGAAGGUAUUCUCCAUCUGUUGUGACCAUUAGCCUGGCAGUCAAAUGGUGUCUGCAUGGUGCACAGUCAGACAGGCCUUGGCAGAUGGCUUAUGCAGGUCCUGGUCUGGUAGCAUUUGUAUACCCCACUGGUAAUGCAAAUGAAGUAGAACAGCGUCUUCAAGCUGUUGUGGAAAGCUGGGACCUGUAUUAACCGAGUGUCUCAAACAGCAUGAGCUGAGAUUGAAACCCCAGGCCUAAUGAUGGAAGUAGUCAGUUACCUACGUGCUGCUGUUGAGAAGCAGCACAAUAGUUCAUAGGUUCAUUAGGAAUGUGUUUUAAAACCAAUCCUGCAGCCUCAUUGGUUUCCUGAGGAGCAGGGCCACCUGUCAGUGUGUUGCUAGUCCUGGGCUGGUUCUGAUGGGUCAUGUAUGCAAAUACCAAGUAAGUGGCUGCUGCCUGAAAGCAGCUGGAUGCUUAUGCUCUACAGUGAGCUUGCUAGCCCAGCAGCCACAGUUCUGCUUGAAGCACCUGAAGGGCAAAAAAUGAUUUGGAUAACAGGCUAAGGAAAUAUUUAAGGAACUAUUUCCUUCUUCAUUUUAAGUAUUUAAAUGUUAUUUUUACUGCUUGAUAGCAACAACUUAAUAUUUUAAUAGCUUGGUAGUUAUUUAAAGCACCUAAAAUCUCUACAGGGCAUUCUCAUUUCUUAUAACCGUAAAUAAGUUUCAGUCAUUGUAGGAGUGGAUUUGAUAUCUGAACUGACAGUUGCCUUGAGAUGUAUGUCUAAUAGGAUAUGGUGAUGAUGGAAAAUAAUCAACAUGUGAAAAGGAGUCUUCCAUUAAGCUGGGUAGAUUACUAUAAACAGUGUAAUCUCAUGAAGCAACAUAUUAAUGAGGGAUUGAAGUUGCUAAUAAAAUUUAAUCUAAGCAGAGUAUCUACCAGCAAGCUUCUGUGGAUUAUGGAGUAGAGACUGCUAGUUGUCUGACAGGGCAGGUACAUCUGAAAUGUCCUUUGUGUGUUUUAUCUCUCACCAAGAAAUCAGGUCAGGAUUGAAGCUUUGGUGCUACUCAGGCAUGUGCAGGGAUGGAUGAUGGAAGUGGGGAUGGCUGAUCUACAGUAAGCAACUCAGAAGCAUUCCAGGCUGGAGAGAUGGAACUGAAUUGUGUGCAGUGAGCUGGGCUCAGGGAUCUGACUGGGCAGCUGCAGGGGGUGCUGUGUGCAUACCUUUCCCAAAGCUUAAUUAAGGUCCAAACAGACAGGUUUUUCCUCAUCAACUGUUCAUUCUGUGUGUUUAUAGUCAGGAUACUUUCGCUUGGUCACUAUAGCAGUUUGCUGUAGUAACGGUGGAUUAGUGUUUGAGAUUUGUCUGUGCGAACAACUAGUUUGAGAGCAGAGAGAAACUCUGAAAGUAAAUCUGAACUUGUCAGAGGCUUUUAUACUUAGAAGGGUAAAGGUGGUCUUCUAUACUGACAGGCUUUUGUUUCAAAGCUUUUUUUCUGGAGUUUCUGAUGUGCCUGCAAACAGCAGGGCACCUCUAGGUAUGGUUUCAUUCUACAUCUGUUGCCAUAAUCUUUCUGGAACUGAUUUGGUUCUAGAGGGCCUCCCCUGGCACUCCUUCCGGACCUGUGCUCCAAACCCCUAUGCACCUUUGAGGAGAAUCCUGUGAGGAGAGGCUGAGCAUGGUCGUGGGCUCUCUGGUGUGCUCUGAGCUCAGUUAUCCCCUGCGUUGUAUCUCAGUGGAGUGCCUGGAGUGGCUGCGCAGAGCCUUGCAAGACCACGUAUCGUGUUCGGAGGAGGCAUGUCAUCCAGGAGCCCCGGAAUGGAGGAGAGUCAUGUCCUGCCUUGGAGGAGAGGGCUGGCUGCGUGGAGUACUGGACUGAGCAAGGAACAGAGUGUAAACAGUCCCUGAGUAAGUCCUCUGAAAAUUCCCCGCGUUAAUAACAACAGGAGGGUUUGGAAAAGCAAGGAAAAAAAGAGCUGCAGUCGAUGGCAAUGAAAGAGCAGGGUACUGUGUGGAGUUCCAGCUUGUGGCCAUCACACAGGGCUGCCUGCACAGUCACCACUCG